CAAUAGCGUAUAUUAAAGUUGUUGCGGUUAAAAAGCUCGUAGUUGGAUUUCUGCUGAGAACGACCGGUCCGCCCUUUGGGUGUGUAUCUGGCUCUUUCUUGGCAUCUUCUUGGUGAACGUUGCUGCACUUGACUGUGCGGAGCGCUACCCAGGACUUUUACUUUGAGGAAAUUAGAGUGUUUCAAGCAGGCAUACGCCUUGAAUACAUUAGCAUGGAAUAAUAAGAUAGGACCUCGGUUCUAUUUUGUUGGUUUCUAGAGCUGAGGUAAUGAUUAAUAGGGAUAGUUGGGGGCAUUCGUAUUUAACUGUCAGAGGUGAAAUUCUUGGAUUUGUUAAAGACGGACUACUGCGAAANCANNNGCCAAGGAUGUUUUCAUNGA
rnacentral:rRNA from 1 species